UGAGAGCUGACGGUGAGCGCACAAGCGCGAACUGGGUGAUCCUAUGCUGCCAAGAAAAGCCUCGGCGCGAGGUUCUAGCCGCCCGUACCCCAAACCGACUCAGGUGGUCAGGUAGAGAAUACUAAGGCGAUCGAGAGAAUCGUGGUUAAGGAACUCGGCAAAAUGCCCCCGUAACUUCGGGAGAAGGGGGGCCCGAAGCGUGAACACCCUCGCGGUGGGAGCGUGGACGGCCGCAGAGACCAGGGAGAAGCGACUGUUUACUAAAAACACAGGUCCGUGCGAAGUCGCAAGACGAUGUAUACGGACUGACGCCUGCCCGGUGCUGGAAGGUUAAGAGGACGGGUCAACCCUUCGGGGUGAAGCUCAGAAUUUAAGCCCCAGUAAACGGCGGUGGUAACUAUAACCAUCCUAAGGUAGCGAAAUUCCUUGUCGGGUAAGUUCCGACCUGCACGAAUGGCGUAACGACUUCUCCGCUGUCUCAACCGCGAACUCGGCGAAAUUGCACUACGAGUAAAGAUGCUCGUUACGCGCAGCAGGACGGAAAGACCCCGGGACCUUUACUAUAGCUUGGUAUUGGUGUUCGGUGCGGCUUGUGUAGGAUAGGUGGGAGACUGUGAAGCCCGUACGCCAGUGCGGGUGGAGUCAACGUUGAAAUACCACUCUGGCCGCUUCGGAUGUCUAACCUCGGUCCGUGAUCCGGACCAGGGACAGUGCCUGGUGGGUAGUUUAACUGGGGCGGUUGCCUCCUAAAAUGUAACGGAGGCGCUCAAAGGUUCCCUCAGCCUGGUUGGCAAUCAGGUGUCGAGUGCAAGUGCACAAGGGAGCUUGACUGUGAGACUGACAGGUCGAGCAGGGACGAAAGUCGGAACUAGUGAUCCGGCGGUGGCUUGUGGAAGCGCCGUCGCUCAACGGAUAAAAGGUACCCCGGGGAUAACAGGCUGAUCUUGCCCAAGAGUCCAUAUCGACGGCAUGGUUUGGCACCUCGAUGUCGGCUCGUCGCAUCCUGGGGCUGGAGUAGGUCCCAAGGGUUGGGCUGUUCGCCCAUUAAAGCGGUACGCGAGCUGGGUUUAGAACGUCGUGAGACAGUUCGGUCCCUAUC
rnacentral:rRNA from 1 species